AGACAGGUGAGGAACACUGCAGUGAUGUUUUACAGUAAGACAGGUGAGGAACACUGCAGUGAUGUUUUACAGUAAGACAGGUGAGGAACACUGCAGUGAUGUUUUACAGUAAGACAGGUGAGGAACACUGCAGUGAUGUUUUACAGUAAGACAGGUGAGGAACACUGCAGUUG